rnacentral:ribozyme from 1 species
CAAUGACAAUGGUCACAUGUAAGCUUAUGUUAUUGCUCUCUACGCACUGCCACCUUUUUCACUAUUCAUAAUAUCCAGUGCCAGGAUUUAAUAAUA